rnacentral:misc_RNA from 1 species
AACGCACAUUGCACUCUCUGGUAUUCCGGAGAGUAUGCUUGUUUGAGUAUCAGUAAACACCUCAAGUCUCUUCUCUAGAGAAGAGAAUUGGACUUGAGCAAUCCCAACUCUUUGCAAAAAGAGGCGGGUUGCUUGAAAUGCAGGUGCAGCUGGACAUUCUUCUGAGCUAAAAGCAUAUUUAUUUAGUCCCGUCAAACGGAUUAUUACUUUUGCUUCAGCUAACAUAAAGGUCGAAUGCGCCACAAUCGCUGAUUGCAGGAAAACUCGUUCGUAAGAACUUGUAAACUCGAUCUCAAAUCAAGUAAGACUACCCGCUGAACUUAA